rnacentral:rRNA from 1 species
UACGUAGGGACCAAGCGUUGUUCGGAUUUACUGGGCGUAAAGGGCGCGUAGGCGGCAAUUCAAGUCAUCUGUGAAAUCUCCGGGCUUAACUCGGAACUGUCAGAUGAUACUGCUUUGCUAGAGUGCAGAAGGGGGCAAUCGGAAUUCUUGGUGUAGCGGUGAAAUGCGUAGAUAUCAAGAGGAACACCUGAGGUGAAGACGGGUUGCUGGGCUGACACUGACGCUGAGGCGCGAAAGCCAGGGGAGCAAACGGG